rnacentral:lncRNA from 1 species
UCAACCAAAUAGUGAAAUGAACGAUGUCAUUUAGAAUAUCAAAAGAUUGCAACGAAUACGCAAACGUCCAAUAUAUCAAGCAUUCAGGGCGUUCAAGUCUUUUUAUUAGAAAAAUGUCAAUUUAUCUUAAUGUAAUAACGAUAAUCAUCACACCAGUCUAUCAGUUAAGCUUUUUAAGAGUGGAAACAGCUUUUCCGAUCUUUUAAAGUGUAUCGCUUUCCAAAUAAUACAUUUUUCACAAUUGCGUCAGUGGAGCCUCGCGGCGAUACAAAGGAAAUUUUUCGUCCGCCAUGUUGGCGUUGGUCUGAUAGGAGGGCGGACUUACCAUACUGUAAUCACAAAAUUCUGCAACGUAGAACAUUUUCGCUCGACUCGCUCAAGGACGCACACACUUCUAAACAUGGCGACGGCUCCCGACAAA